CCUACGGGAGGCAGCAGUGAGGAAUAUUGGUCAAUGGACGAGAGUCUGAACCAGCCAAGUAGCGUGAAGGAUGACUGCCCUCUGAGUUGUAAACUUCUUUUAUAUGGGAGUAAAAUGUUCCACGUGUGGGAUUUUGUAUGUACCGUAUGAAUACGGAUCGGCUAACUCCGUGCCAGCAGCCGCGGUAAUACGGAGGAUCCGAGCGUUAUCCGGAUUUAUUGGGUUUAAAGGGAGCGUAGGUGGAUUGUUAAGUCAGUUGUGAAAGUUUGCGGCUCAACCGUAAAAUUGUAGUUGAAACUGGCAGUCUUGAGUACAGUAGAGGAGGGCGGAAUUCGUGGUGUAGCGGUGAAAUGCUUAGAUAUCACGAAGAACGCCGAUUGCGAAGGCAGUUCACUGGACUGCAACUGACACUGAGGCUCGAAAGCGUGGGUAGCAAACAGGAUUAGAUACCCGUGUAGUC
rnacentral:rRNA from 1 species